UGUGCUGGGUACAGCGCCUAAAUUAGAACAAACUUUAGUGGACUGUUUUCAUAGUGGGAAUGCAUCCGUUACUCCUAGUACCAGACGAUUUUUUCUUGGUUAAACGGCUCAUGUAGCCUAAACAAUGAUGCGUUGUUUUUGGAAUUUGAGUAAGGAUCAGCUGUUAUCCAAUCUCUAUGCGUUCGACGAAUCCUCAUAGAAAUGAUGAGCUUCUGGGGUCACUCGAAGUCAACAAUUCACCGCGUCGCAAGUGAAUGAGCGGCUGCAGAGAAAGCAGAGGUAAACCUCAGCACAAGGCAAAAUCUAAGACAGCGAAAGAACAACGCCGACUUUAAAGUUAAUCGCUGCCGUCCAAAAGAACAUUUCAAAUUACUCAGUUGCUUUGAUCAAAACGUUAGUGACGUGAACGAUGUCACCGAUUGUCUGCAAAAAUUUCAGGUACACGCGUCAUGUCGUAGAGAUCAGAAGAGGCGCACUCUUAGAACAAUUAAACCGAGAGAUUAGACCGGUCUUGUCUCAACAAUGAAACAGCAGGUCGCCUACGAGAGAUUUUUUCUACUGGUGCAAAAAUGAACCGCAAAAACCAUCAUUAGCCCGCUUGGGAUAUGCUUGUUGUUUUGUUCUGAAUGUAAUAUCUAGCGAUGGAGGCGUCAUGCUACCAUAUUUCUUCCGGAGAAACGAUCGCAUCACUAAAGAAACGUAUCUGUGUAUUUUACGAACUACUGUGCAGCAGUGGAUAUCUGAGACAUCUAAAGGAAAAGCAUAUGUCUCUCAACAAGAGGGUGCACUGGUCCUUACAGGCGGAUUAUCUGCGUAACAAUACGAGCAUAUUGUGAAACGAGUGUAUUUAGGCCACUGAAUAGAUCAGAUUUCGGAUUGUUAUAUAUGGAGCGCUAUUGAACGGUUUAGGAUUCUAAUUGAAGCUCUAACCGCAAUAAAUGGCGGUUAUGUUGAAUAACAUGACCGUCAGCAAUGGCACCUUGUGCACAUAUAAAAAUUCUUCGAAAUACUUGUUUUUCUUUAGGUGUCGUCCUAAAAAUAAAGCAUGAAGAAAACCCCAAUUCACGCGCCGUACAUUGUAGAAGUUGUUAAGAGAUAAAGAGCUGGACAAAGUGUCUAUGUGGCUUCGAUGCUUCAGAAAAUUCUAAGAAAUCCGGAAUGCAGUCAACUGCCCUCACAUUGACAAGAUAGGUUUAUCUAUGGCGCCUUUAUUAGUAGAAGCGUCCAUCUAUUGGCCAAGCGGUACAGGCAAGCCUUGAAAAGCAAAAUGUUUUUUGGCAAGGAAGAUUAAUAACUAACAAUAAUCAACGGCGAGUUCCUUUCAUUCAUCAAUUAUGGGGAAAACCGUGAAAUACACGCAUUGCGCCUCGUAACCCGGCAACAAGCAUCUGCCGUUCUCUGACCUUCAUUUCUCGUUACGUCGAAGAUAUUUGGCGCGAAUAUCCAGAUUUAAAUAUAUUAUUUAUGCAAAGGCGACAGGAUUCACGCAGUGUGAUUAUGGAUUAUUUGCAGCAAGGUAAUUUCUAUGGGAACUUAGAAUAGCUUCUCCUGAGUAAUGCGAUCAUUACGAUGAAGUAACGACUACGACGAUGAAGUAAUAACUGCGCCAAAUUGACGGCUCAGUGAUACAAAAUGAGAAAUUAUAGUAUCGAAUAAAGUGACAGAAAAGCCGAACAGGUAACCGCAGCAGGAAAGCUUUUUGAACCACAAACUACGUUAGAGUGGGCGUGACAUUAACGAAGCAGACCCAUUAAAUGAAUCAAUGACAAAACGGGCACGAGGCGAAACCCGUAGUUCUUCCUAGUUUACAUAUUGCGUACAUUGAAUUUCUGUUUGCCUAACUAAAAACGGCUCACGUAAUUUUGCAUUACUUUUAAGCUUUCCUAAAGUGGGCGCACCUGUGUCAUUAAAGAGGCUGACU
rnacentral:lncRNA from 1 species